AAAAAACAACAUUGCAACGGGCACAGAGAGACCACGAGCAGAGCACAUGCACAGACUGGUAAGAUGCAGUCAGUAUUCAUUCCUUGUUCAUAAACUAUAAUUAUUUUUAUUGAAUAUUCGUUCGAUUUUCUUCCGUGGGAUAUUGCAGAAAGAUAAGUACUUUUAUAUUUCAUUUUUAAAUUUUUUUUAUAUAUAUAUAUAUAUUUAUACUUUUAUCUAGCAGAGAAAGAGAGGCAGAGAGGUUGAUGUACACAUAAAUUAUAUAAGUGUAUGAAAAUAAAGAAUCAUUUAAAAAAUCUCCCCGUCUUUAUAUUUAUUUAUUUAUUACAUAUAAAUUGUAAUUAGAAAGCUAUUACAGAAUGUUUGUAAAGUAAGAAAAAUAAUUCUUCAUGUUCCCCUAAGGUAUUUAAAGCCAGCUGCUUUAUGUAGAAAAGAUCAAAAACAUCCACUUCCUCUACUUUUUUGAGAGCUAUGCAACUUUUUUUUUUUUUUUUUUUUAAUAUCCUCUGAUCUGUACAUUAAUUAUUUCAUAGGAUUCGCUUCCUGGAUACCAUCAACCGGAGUCUAACACACUAUCGACAAUAUAUGAGCUCGCGGGUCACUGUGAGCGUAAUGGAAACCUCACCUAGGAUUCAAAGUAUCAGAACUUACUAUAUAAAUACAUCUGUCUACAACCUGCUGAUGUGUAGAAAUGAGAGCACUUUAUUUAUAUGGGUUAACUUUGAGCGGAGUUUGUACAAUUUUACAUAAUUGUAGUAUAUACCAUUGAUUCACUUAAAAGUUUAGAAAUUGUUUUACAGAGAUAAUAAUGUCGCAG
rnacentral:lncRNA from 1 species